UUUAUAAAGAAUUAUCUUUUUUUAGAAA
rnacentral:tRNA from 1 species